ACCACCAUUGACAGUUCGACCAAGAACCAAUCCGAGUUUCUCAAGCUCACAUCCAAUAUUUCAUUAAGAAAAAACAAAACCAAAUUCAUCAAACCCACCACAGAUUCAAACUUACCCACUAUCAAAACCCAGCUCAAGAAGCUCAAUUCCACCUCAAAACCAUCAAAUUCAACCAAACCCACUUCACUUUCCUCAAAGAAAUCGUCAGAUCUAACCAAACCAAAUUUUGAUUCUGAUUUUUGAAAGCUUAAAGGUUCUUCUUCAGACGCUUCAGAUUCUCCUUCGUCGGUGCAUGGAUUCAUGUUUUUGAUCUUCUUC
rnacentral:lncRNA from 1 species